rnacentral:rRNA from 1 species
GAAGGGGGCUAGCGUUGCUCGGAAUCACUGGGCGUAAAGGGUGCGUAGGCGGGUCUUUAAGUCAGGGGUGAAAUCCUGGAGCUCAACUCCAGAACUGCCUUUGAUACUGAAGAUCUUGAGUUCGGGAGAGGUGAGUGGAACUGCGAGUGUAGAGGUGAAAUUCGUAGAUAUUCGCAAGAACACCAGUGGCGAAGGCGGCUCACUGGCCCGAUACUGACGCUGAGGCACGAAAGCGUGGGGGGAGCAAACAGGAUUAGAUACCCUGGUAGUCCACGCCGUAAACGAUGAAUGCCCAGCCGUUGGAAAGUUUACUUUUCAGUGGCGCAGCUAACGCUUUAAGCAUUCCGCCUGGGAGUACGGUCGCAAGAUUA